GUGGGGAAUCUUGCGCAAUGGGCGAAAGCCUGACGCAGCCAUGCCGCGUGAAUGAUGAAGGUCUUAGGAUUGUAAAAUUCUUUCACCGGGGACGAUAAUGACGGUACCCGGAGAAGAAGCCCCGGCUAACUUCGUGCCAGCAGCCGCGGUAAUACGAAGGGGGCUAGCGUUGCUCGGAAUUACUGGGCGUAAAGGGCGCGUAGGCGGAUCGUUAAGUCAGGGGUGAAAUCCCAGAGCUCAACUCUGGAACUGCCCUUGAUACUGGCGAUCUUGAGUGUGAGAGAGGUAUGUGGAACUCCGAGUGUAGAGGUGACAUUCGUAGAUAUUCGGAAGAACACCAGUGGCGAAGGCGACAUACUGGCUCAUUACUGACGCUGAGGCGCGAAAGCGUGGGGAGCAAACAGGAUUAGAAACCCUAGUAGUCC
rnacentral:rRNA from 1 species